CAACCGAGGAUAAAUCAGUAACUUACCCUCUUGAACACAAUUAUUUUGCUUAAGACCGGUUCUCCACCAAACGGAAUUCCUCAAACAAAACCGCAAAUAAAUGAUGAUUGUUUUCAUCUCAACCGCAUGAUCCACAAUCUCACUGCAAAAAAUCAGCCUCACCUGCGUUCUAGUAUAUAAUCCAAACGCGGUUUUGUUGGGAGAUUAUAUCCAAACGCAGUUUCUACUCAAAAGAAAAAUCCAAACGCCGUCUUCACAGUCAUCUAUCACCAUUCCCUUCCAUUUCCGACUCCAACAAAAACCGUUCCUUCCGUUUUAAUUCCCCGUUAGUUACGUCGACGUGUCACUCUCUCGUUUGAUCACAUAACGGCGCCGUCAAAUUCCCCGUUUUGAGAUUCCCCCGUCACUAUUAACGGAGACUGGACCACACUACCACCACCAAGAGUCCCACGCCACUACGAAAAAGCAAAUAUCCAAUCCUAACCGUUGAAUCUUUCGUCAUUAUCAUCGCAAAAAAAUUCGUCGACACGCGCGUAACAACACUCUCUCUCACGCGCCACAUUUUUACCCUUUCUCUCUCUUACAUUAACAAAACCAGAAAAAACUCAGAAAACACCAACACCUGAAAAGUGAGAGAGAGUGAGUGAGGUGUGUAGAAUAAGAAUUACAGUCUCAGAAGAACGUACUUGCAUAGUUUCAUCAAUGGUGAUGGCUCAGGUAGGUGUCAGAACACGAGCUCGAGCCGCAUUAGCCAUGGAAGCCACAAGUUCACCUCCACGAACUACAAAGAGAAGAAAGAUCAACAGAACCGAAAACCGUAAAUUCUCAACCGUCAAACCGAAGAUAGCGACGGUUAGGCCGGAAACGGUAACGGAGAAACAUUCCUCCGGUUCUACCUCCGAUGAAGAAUUUCCGGCAUCGUGUUGUUCAAGCAACGGAUCCGUUGAACUCGAUGAAGAAAGGAUCAAAUCGUUAGAUCUGGAGGUGGAGAGCGCGCAAGGUGAAACGUCGACGUGCAAUUGCGAUGAAGAAAUUGAGAGGAGAGAGAUGAGUCGUUCAAGCGAGUUUCGAGGAAAUUCUCACGAGCUUGAGUCAAUGGAGACCAAUUCUCGCCGUCCGAUUUCAUCUCCCAAAAAGACGCCAACGGAAUACGAGCUUGAGGAAUUUUUCGCUGCUGCUGAGAAAGACAUUCAGAAAAAAUUUCAAGAAAAGUAUAAUUAUGAUAUUCUGAAGGACGUUCCGUUGGAAGGACGCUACGAGUGGGUUCAGUUGAAGCCAUGAACAUUAACGCUGUGAAACUCUUCGAAUUUGCCACUUUGCUGACAUUUUUCUUACUUUUUUUAGUUUAGGGACACGGUGAAUAACGUGUAAGUUACGGGCACGUGUUUGAGAGGGUGGAAAAGUUCCCAUGUGAAAAGAGUCUUCCAAUCUUGGAACCAAAUCCAUUCUACUUUCACAAAGUACAACAAAAUUGGUAUAGUAGUGAAAAAAAGGAAUAUUUGUUAUUGUUAUUUCAGCAUAUAAUUCUUUCACUCUUUUAUCCAAUUUCUUUAGACUCUAUUUGGUUACAUUAUUUAUUUAUAAAUUCAGCUGCUUAAUUUAAUUGGUUCUUUUGCA